AUAAGCGCACACGGUGGAUGCCUAGGCGGUCAGAGGCGAUGAAGGACGUGGUAGCCUGCGAAAAGUGUCGGGGAGCUGGCAACAAGCUUUGAUCCGGCAAUAUCCGAAUGGGGAAACCCACUGCUUCGGCAGUAUCUUGCAGUGAAUUCAUAGCUGCUUGAAGCGAACCCGGUGAACUGAAAUAUCUAAGUAACCGGAGGAAAAGAAAUCAACCGAGAUUCCCUGAGUAGUGACGAGCGAACGGGGAACAGCCCUUAAGCUGGAAUGGCUUUAGAAAAACAAUCUGGAAAGAUUGGCCAUAGAAGGUGAUAGCCCUGUAUUUAAAAGGGCCACUCCAGUGAAGACGAGUAGGGCGGGGCACGUGAAACCCUGUCUGAAUAUGGGGGGACCAUCCUCCAAGGCUAAAUACUCCUGACCGACCGAUAGUGAACCAGUACCGUGAGGGAAAGGCGAAAAGAACCCCGGAGAGGGGAGUGAAAUAGAUCCUGAAACCGUGUGCGUACAAGCAGUAGGAGCUCGCAAGAGUGACUGCGUACCUUUUGUAUAAUGGGUCAGCGACUUACUGUUCGUGGCAAGCUUAACCGUAUAGGGGAGGCGAAGGGAAACCGAGUCUGAUAAGGGCGCAUAGUCGCGGGCAGUAGACCCGAAACCGGGUGAUCUAGUCAUGGCCAGGGUGAAGGUGCCGUAACAGGUACUGGAGGCCCGAACCCACGUCUGUUGCAAAAGACGGGGAUGAGCUGUGAUUAGGAGUGAAAAGCUAAUCGAACCCGGAGAUAGCUGGUUCUCCUCGAAAGCUAUUUAGGUAGCGCCUCGGACGAAUACUACUGGGGGUAGAGCACUGUUAUGGCUAGGGGGUCAUCGCGACUUACCAAACCAUUGCAAACUCCGAAUACCAGUAAGUACUAUCCGGGAGACACACGGCGGGUGCUAACGUCCGUCGUGAAAAGGGAAACAACCCAGACCCACAGCUAAGGUCCCAAAUUCACUGCUAAGUGGAAAACGAUGUGGAAAGGCAUAGACAGCCAGGAGGUUGGCUUAGAAGCAGCCACCCUUUAAAGAAAGCGUAAUAGCUCACUGGUCGAGUCGGUCUGCGCGGAAGAUUUAACGGGGCUAAGCAGUGAACCGAAGCUUGGGGUGCGUAAAACUUCGGUUUUAUGCGCGGUAGAGGAGCGUUCCGUAAGCCUGCGAAGGUGGAUUGAGAAGUCUGCUGGAGGUAUCGGAAGUGCGAAUGCUGACAUGAGUAACGAUAAUGCGGGUGAAAAGCCCGCACGCCGAAAGCCCAAGGUUUCCUUGCGCAACGUUAAUCGACGCAGGGUUAGUCGGUCCCUAAGGCGAGGGCGAAAGCCGUAGUCGAUGGGAAGCAGGUUAAUAUUCCUGCACCUCGCGUGAGUGCGAUGGAGGGACGGAGAAGGUUAGGUGUACCGGGCGUUGGUUGUCCCGGGGAAAGGCGGUAGGUUUGGAUCUUUGGCAAAUCCGGGAUCCUUUAAGACCGAGCACCGAGACGAGCCUUUAUGGCGAAGUCACUGAUACCACGCUUCCAGGAAAAGCUCCUAAGCUUCAGCUCACGAAGACCGUACCGUAAACCGACACAGGUGGGUAGGAUGAGAAUUCUCAGGCGCUUGAGAGAACUCGGGUGAAGGAACUAGGCAACAUGGCACCGUAACUUCGGGAGAAGGUGCACCCUUUUUGGUGGCUCAUGCGAGCUAUAGCUGAAGAGGGUCGCAGAAACCAGGCCGCUGCGACUGUUUAUCAAAAACACAGCACUCUGCAAACACGAAAGUGGACGUAUAGGGUGUGACGCCUGCCCGGUGCUGGAAGGUUAAUUGAUGGGGUCAGCCGCAAGGCGAAGCUCUUGAUCGAAGCCCCAGUAAACGGCGGCCGUAACUAUAACGGUCCUAAGGUAGCGAAAUUCCUUGUCGGGUAAGUUCCGACCUGCACGAAUGGCGUAACGACAGCGGCGCUGUCUCCACCCGAGACUCAGUGAAAUUGAAAUCGCUGUGAAGAUGCAGCGUUCCCGUGGCAAGACGGAAAGACCCCGUGAACCUUUACUAUAGCUUUACACUGAACGUUGAGUUCGUCUGUGUAGGAUAGGUGGGAGGCUAUGAAACUGUGGCGCUAGCUGCAGUGGAGCCAACCUUGAAAUACCACCCUGUCGUGCUUGACGUUCUAACCUAGAUCCGUUAUCCGGAUCAGGGACCGUGUAUGGUGGGUAGUUUGACUGGGGCGGUCUCCUCCUAAAGAGUAACGGAGGAGCACGAAGGUACGCUCAGCGCGGUCGGACAUCGCGCACUGUGUGCAAAGGCAUAAGCGUGCUUGACUGCAAGAUCGACGGAUCAAGCAGGUACGAAAGUAGGUCUUAGUGAUCCGGUGGUUCUGUAUGGAAGGGCCAUCGCUCAACGGAUAAAAGGUACUCCGGGGAUAACAGGCUGAUACCGCCCAAGAGUUCAUAUCGACGGCGGUGUUUGGCACCUCGAUGUCGGCUCAUCACAUCCUGGGGCUGUAGUCGGUCCCAAGGGUAUGGCUGUUCGCCAUUUAAAGUGGUACGCGAGCUGGGUUCAGAACGUCGUGAGACAGUUCGGUCCCUAUCUGCCAUGGGCGUUGGAAGUUUGAGAGGGGCUGCUCCUAGUACGAGAGGACCGGAGUGGACGAACCUCUGGUGUUCCGGUUGUCACGCCAGUGGCAUUGCCGGGUAGCUAUGUUCGGAAGCGAUAACCGCUGAAAGCAUCUAAGCGGGAAGCGCGCCUCAAGAUGAGACUUCCCGGGGCACAAGCCCCCUAAAGGAACCAUAUAGACUAUGUGGUUGAUAGGUCAGGUGUGUAAGUACAGCAAUGUAUUGAGCUAACUGAUACUAAUGAUCCGUGCGGCUUGACC
rnacentral:rRNA from 3 species